rnacentral:rRNA from 1 species
UGGCUUUGGCCAUGAACAUGGAUGGACCUGCGGUGCAUUAGCUGGUUGGUGAGGUAACGGCCCACCAAGGCGACGAUGCAUAGCCGGCCUGAGAGGGCGGACGGCCACAUUGGGACUGAGACGCGGCCCAAACUCCUACGGGAGGCAGCAGUAGGGAAUUUUCGUCAAUGGGGGGAACCCUGAACGAGCAAUGCCGCGUGAGUGAGGAAGGUCUUCGGAUCGUAAAGCUCUGUUGUAAGAGAAAAACGGCACUCAUAGGGAAUGAUGAGUGAGUGAUGGUAUCUUACCAGAAAGUCACGGCUAACUACGUGCCAGCAGCCGCGGUAAUACGUAGGUGGCGAGCGUUAUCCGGAAUGAUUGGGCGUAAAGGGUGCGUAGGUGGCAGAUCAAGUCUGGAGUAAAAGGUAUGGGCUCAACCCGUACUGGCUCUGGAAACUGAUCAGCUAGAGAACAGAAGAGGACGGCGGAACUCCAUGUGUAGCGGUAAAAUGCGUAGAUAUAUGGAAGAACACCGGUGGCGAAGGCGGCCGUCUGGUCUGGAUUCUGACACUGAAGCACGAAAGCGUGGGGAGCAAAUAGGAUUAGAUACCCUAGUAGUCCACGCCGUAAACGAUGAGAACUAGGUGUUGGGGGAAUAACUCAGUGCCGCAGUUAACGCAGUAAGUUCUCCGCCUGGGGAGUAUGCACGCAAGUGUGAAACUCAAAGGAAUUGACGGGGGCCCGCACAAGCGGUGGAGUAUGUGGUUUAAUUCGAAGCAACGCGAAGAACCUUACCAGGCCUUGACAUCCCUUGCAGAGGUAUAGAGAUAUAUCCGAGGUUAUCAAGGAGACAGGUGGUGCAUGGUUGUCGUCAGCUCGUGUCGUGAGAUGUUGGGUUAAGUCCCGCAACGAGCGCAACCCUUGUGAUAUGUUACUAACAUUGAGUUGAGGACUCAUAUCAGACUGCCGGUGAUAAACCGGAGGAAGGUGGGGAUGACGUCAAAUCAUCAUGCCCCUUAUGGCCUGGGCUACACACGUACUACAAUGGCGUCUACAAAGAGCGGCAAGCCUGUGAAGGCAAGCGAAUCUCAUAAAGGACGUCUCAGUUCGGAUUGAAGUCUGCAACCCGACUUCAUGAAGCUGGAAUCGCUAGUAAUCGCGAAUCAGCAUGUCGCGGUGAAUACGUUCUCGGGCCUUGUACACACCGCCCGUCAAACCAUGGGAGUUGGUAAUGCCCGAAGCCGGUG